UACGUAGGGUGCGAGCGUUAAUCGGAAUUACUGGGCGUAAAGCGUGCGCAGGCGGUUGUGCAAGACCGAGGUGAAAUCCCCGGGCUCAACCUGGGAACUGCAUUUGUGACUGCAUGGCUAGAGUACGGUAGAGGGGGAUGGAAUUCCGCGUGUAGCAGUGAAAUGCGUAGAUAUGCGGAGGAACACCGAUGGCGAAGGCAAUCCCCUGGACCUGUACUGACGCUCAUGCACGAAAGCGUGGGGAGCAAACAGG
rnacentral:rRNA from 1 species